AUACGGAGGGUGCAAGCGUUAAUCGGAAUUACUGGGCGUAAAGGGCGCGUAGGCGGUCUAUCAAGUCAGGUGUGAAAUCCCACGGCUCAACCGUGGAGGUGCAUCUGAAACUGAUAGACUUGAGUAUGGGAGAGGAAAGUGGAAUUCCCGGUGUAGAGGUGAAAUUCGUAGAUAUAGGGAGGAACACCAGUGGCGAAGGCGACUUUCUGGACCAAUACUGACGCUGAGGCGCGAAAGCGUGGGGAGCAAACAGGAUUAGAAACCCUAGUAGUCC
rnacentral:rRNA from 1 species